rnacentral:lncRNA from 1 species
UAGCUAAUUGGCUUUAGUGCAAGUGGGAGUUUGUUAGAUGUGUGUCCUAUAAGCCAAUCUUGACUUACACAUACUUUUCUCUAGGGCAUGUUUUGUACUUGAUGGGCAGUCUUUAUAACCAAUUAUGACUUAUGUGUCUAUAAUUUAUCCUAAAAAUUAAUAAAGAUGAUUUUGUAUAUUCUCAAGGUGUUAAGAAUUUGAGACAUACAUCAUUAGUGGUUAAUUUCUAAAUACUUCUAAUCGAAAGAUCGUCACGAAAGAUAGUGAUCAAUCCAUUUA